GGAUUAGAUACCCUGGUAGUCAACGCUGUAAACGAUGAUCACUGGACGUUGGGUUUGUUUUACAAAUCCAGUGUCGAAGCUAACGCGUUAAGUGAUCCGCCUGGGAACUACGGUCGCAAGACUAAAACUCAAAGGAAUUGACGGGGGUCCGCACAAGCGGUGGAACAUGUGGUUUAAUUCGACACUACGCGAGGAACCUUACCUGGGUUUGACAUGUACCUGACCGUUGUAGAAAUACAAUUUUCUAGUCGAAAGACUAGACGAGUACACAGGUGCUGCAUGGCUGUCGUCAGCUCGUGCCG
rnacentral:rRNA from 1 species